UACGGAGGGAGCUAGCGUUGUUCGGAAUUACUGGGCGUAAAGCGCACGUAGGCGGCUUUCUAAGUCAGGGGUGAAAUCCUGGAGCUCAACUCCAGAACUGCCUUUGAUACUGGAGAGCUUGAGUCCGGAAGAGGUGAGUGGAACUCCGAGCGUAGAGGUGAAAUUCGUAGAUAUUCGGAAGAACACCAGUGGCGAAGGCGGCUCACUGGUCCGGUACUGACGCUGAGGUGCGAAAGCGUGGGGAGCAAACAGG
rnacentral:rRNA from 1 species